rnacentral:rRNA from 1 species
GACGAACGCUGGCGGCGUGCUUAACACAUGCAAGUCGAACGGAAAGGCCCUGCUUUUGUGGGGUGCUCGAGGUGCGAACUGGUGAGUAACACGUGAGUAACCUGUCCCUGACUUUGGGGUAACUUCAGGCAACUGGGUCUCAUACCGGAUAGGAGCUCCUGCUGCAUGGUGGGGGUUGGAAAGUUUCGGCGGUUGGGGAUGGACUCGCGGCUCAUCGGCUUGUUGGUUGGGUAGUGGAUGACCAAGGCUUGGACGGGUAGCCGGCCUGGGAGGGUAACCGGAUCCGUUGCGCCGGGACUACGGCCCAGACUAGUAUCGGACGCAACGGUGGGGUGUAUUGCACAAUGGGCGGAAGCCUGAUGUGGUCAAGCCGCGUGCGGGAUGACGGCCAUGGGGUUGUAUACCGAUUUCGCCUUUGCCGAAGCGUGAGUGACGGUACCGGGUAAAGAAGCACCGGCUAACUACGUG